UACGGCCGCAAGGUUAAAACUCAAAUGAAUUGACGGGGGCCCGCACAAGCGGUGGAGCAUGUGGUUUAAUUCGAUGCAACGCGAAGAACCUUACCUGGUCUUGACAUCCACAGAACUUUCCAGAGAUGGAUUGGUGCCUUCGGGAACUGUGAGACAGGUGCUGCAUGGCUGUCGUCAGCUCGUGUUGUGAAAUGUUGGGUUAAGUCCCGCAACGAGCGCAACCCUUAUCCUUUGUUGCCAGCGGUCCGGCCGGGAACUCAAAGGAGACUGCCAGUGAUAAACUGGAGGAAGGUGGGGAUGACGUCAAGUCAUCAUGGCCCUUACGACCAGGGCUACACACGUGCUACAAUGGCGCAUACAAAGAGAAGCGACCUCGCGAGAGCAAGCGGACCUCAUAAAGUGCGUCGUAGUCCGGAUUGGAGUCUGCAACUCGACUCCAUGAAGUCGGAAUCGCUAGUAAUCGUGGAUCAGAAUGCCACGGUGAAUACGUUCCCGGGCCUUGUACACACCGCCCGUCACACCAUGGGAGUGGGUUGCAAAAGAAGUAGGUAGCUUAACCUUCGGGAGGGCGCUUACCACUUUGUGAUUCAUGACUGGGGUGAAGUCGUAACAAGGUAACCGUAGGGGAACCUGCGGUUGGAUCACCUCCUUACCUUAAAGAAGC
rnacentral:rRNA from 2 species